GAAACUAAUAACUACUGAAAAAAAUGGUUCAUAAGGCCUGUACUAUUUACGUGAUUCCCUUGAUCCUGUUGCUAUUCUUCUUCUCAUCCAACGUCGUUUCUGCUGGAAUUUCUUACAUUCCAAAAACCAAAGAGAAAAGGAAUCACCAUGUGAAUAUGGAUAUUAUUAAAGGAAGGAAAAUAGGCGUACCAGUACCUUCUACACCUGGAGAUAGCCAUGGUAACGUAGGUUGAUGAUGAUGUAUCUGACUUCUUGGAGUUGGUACAAGGCACACUUGCUAGCUGGCCAGGCAUCCCAUAAAUCUUAAUGCAUGAUCAGUUUAUAUUUUUGUUUGCGAGAUUUUGUAGGUUGGAAUGUAGUUUAAUUGUAAAUAAUAUCCAUGUUGAGAUUUCAGCAUGAUGAUAAGGGAAUAGGUUGAUUUGUAUUAUGAUAAGCAGCAAUGUUAAUUUCGUGAGCAGACGAUCAAUAAAUUAAGGACUUCUCAAGGUAGGGGAGAGCUUUUUAUACA